GCUGAGGAAGCUGCGAGGUUCUGGGCGGGGCCAUGCUGGGCUUUUGUGCCCUGGUGUGGGCGAGGCCAAGUAGAUGGAUUCCUGAUCCAAAAAGUGAGGACUGUCUUUAAACCCCUGUGGGAGAACUGUGUAAGUAUAUUACUGCUUUUCUCUUGAAAUGGGAUUUUCCGAUUCAAAGGCAAACAAACUGGGAGUCAGCUAGUCUCCUGUGCUGAGUCCUGAAGGUCACUAGAGGGCGUGUGCUCCCACCUAUCCUGACCUGAUGCAGCCAUAGAGAGAGUGCCAGAGGCCAGAGUCCAUGGAGGACAGUGCCCAACACCUCAUUCUCAGGACUGAUCACCAGAAGGUGCCUGUGUGGGCUGUGCAAUGGAGAGACCAGGAUCAGACAUCGGCGGUGUUUGACCCCUCUGGACACUGGUCUGCAAAAGGAGAGGCCGCCCUGAUGGUAUUCCAGGGCUCCGGGUAGGCCAGCCCCAGUCAGGCCCUAUCGCUGAUCACCCGACCCGCAGGAGUUUAUCAGGAAAGCCUGUAGAGGUGCCAAGUAUGUGCUCGAGUCAACCCCCGUGCAGGGCCCCAUAAGGAGGGGGCCUGAUUGAGGGGAACACAACCCGGAAAACACUGGAAACUGGACUUUACUGAGGGUUUGAUGUCAAAACAUUCACUCCUUUGGAAAAUCUCCACCCCCAAGAGGCCGAAGACCACCAUACCAAUCUUACAGAUAUUAACUAAGGUUCAUAAAUUGCUAAAUUUGUCUAGACUGGAAAAAAAAAGAGGAGAUUGUUGGUUAUGUCUAGACCCAAAGCCCCCCUAUUAUGUAGGGGUGAGAGUGACCUCUGUGCCUAAAUCUGUGUCUUCCACUGACGGUAACUGGAACAAACCUAUGCCAACUUUAGGGAAUGUACAAGGAACAGAAACAUGUCUGACUGGGACAAAUUAUAACCUGGAUAGUUCACCAGGGUUUAUGUAACUUAACUUUCACCAACCAUAAAACUCCAGGCUCCCCUUUAUAUUAUAAGGCUCCAGAAGAUGCCUUGUUUGCUUGUACCAAGGGCUUGACUAAGUGUAUACCCAAGUUGGUCUUAGCCACUCAAUCUGCCAGUUUAUUUUGUGUUACUAUGUAUGUUGUUCCACAAGUCUUGUAUUAUAAUGGAAAAGGGGGCCACGAACAUCUGGGAUUAACCACUGAACACUAUAGGAGUAAACAGGCUGCCCUCAUUUUAGUACCCAUUCUGGUGGGAUUAGGAAUAGCCAGGUCAGUGGCUAUUGGAACUUCCUCCCUAAUCCUUCAGGACACAAAUUUUAAAGCCCUAAGCCACCAGGUAGCUAGAGAUUUGGGCCACGUGGAAGACUCAAUCUCCAGGUUGAAAACAGGUUGAUUCCCUAGCUAAAAUGGUCUUACAAAAUCAAAGGGGACUUAAUCUUCUGUUCAUAAAACAAGGAGGAUUAUGUGUAGCUCUAGAAAAAAAACCUGUUGCUUUUAUGCUAAUCAGUCUGGUGUCAUUAGAGAUACCCUAGCUAUGGUCAGGGAAAAUUUAAAAAGACUAAAUAUGCUCAACAAAAGGAUCAAAAUUGGUUUCAAAAUCUAUUUGGCUGGUCCCCAUGGUUAACUACUCUAGUUUCUGCUGUAGCAUGUCCCCUAGUUAUCUUGUCUGCUUUUGCUCAAGGGUUGAUGCAGUUAAACUGAUGGUGUUGAGACAAAAUUAUGAGAUUUUAGAAGACGUUUAAAAAAAA